GCCAUUUCCCUUGUUUGAGUUCAGGAGGUGGGAGGUGUGUUAGCAAGAAAGUGUAUCAGAUAGCAAAGCCUUUUAGGCUUGGAGUUGAAGCCCAAUGCAUGGGGAAAAUGGGUGAAAGGUCUCAGACUUCACUCAUUUCAUUUUCAUUUCAAGCAAAUGCUCAUAUCCUCUUCUACAUGUCCCUUCACUGGAAAUUGCUCCACUGCGUCGGAGGCGACUGAGCAACCCAAAAACGGCCAAAACCCCCCACAAUUGAUUCGUUUUAACCUCCUAUAUGCACCUCUUACCCUCAACUCAACUCAAUUCCACUAAACCCUUCAUUUCAAACAUAAAACACCAAAAACCCUAUAAUACACAAACUAAAAUUAAACACAGUGUGAUGGGAAUCAAAACAUGAAACCUCUAGGCUUUGAUUACCCUCUAUAACGUCUACAUACCGGUAACAAUUUGGAGCAAAACAAGGGAGAAAUGAAUAUCCUACCUAUAUAACAGAGGCACGUCCUGGGAAUUUUUGAAAUUGUUGAAGAUGAGAAGACCAGAUAUACUAACAGGUUUGGGCAUACAUGGAGUCUUGGUCAUGAAGUGGUUUUGGCAUGGGAUUAUCAAAGUUGGCAUGACAUCAAGAACAUUAUGAGGAUCACGUGAUGAAUCAAUGAGGAUAAAGACAAAAGUAGGCUUAGGAUUAGUUUGACCAAAAGUCAACAAUCGACCGAAAGCCAACCAUGGGUCAAAAAUGUUUAUUUUACGUAAUUUGUAACUUUGGUUUUUUUCAAGUAUUUUUGAUGUUGUAAUGAGAUUUUGUCUUUUGAAUGUAAUGUGUGACUUGUUUUCUAAGAUAAGUAUAUUUUCAUUCCAAUUUACAAAUUUGCAAUCCUUUGAUUUAAA